rnacentral:misc_RNA from 1 species
GGAUGAAGAACGCAGCGAAAUGCGAUACUUGGUGUGAAUUGCAGAAUCCCGUGAACCAUCGAGUCUUUGAACGCAAGUUGCGCCCGAAGCCACUAGGCCGAGGGCACGCCUGCCUGGGCGUCACACGCCGUUGCCCCCCCAUCUACUCCUUCGGGAUUGCGGGGGGGCGGAUGAUGGCCUCCUGUGCGCCUAGCCGCGCGGUUGGCAUAAAUACCAAGUCCUCGGCGACGCACGCCACGACAAUCGGUGGUUGCGAAACCUCGGUUGCCCGUCGUGUGCGUUCGUCGCGCAUCGAGGGCUCGAAAAAAUGCUCGGCUCCGGCUGGGCUUUCAACGCGACCCCAGGUCAGGCGGGGUUACCCGCUGAAUUUAAGCAUAUCAAUAAGCGGAGGA